UACGUAGGGGGCUAGCGUUGUCCGGAUUUAUUGGGCGUAAAGAGCGUGUAGGCGGCCAGGUAGGUCCGUUGUGAAAACUCGAGGCUCAACCUCGAGACGCCGGCGGAAACCCUUUGGCUAGAGUCCGGAAGAGGAGAGUGGAAUUCCUGGUGUAGCGGUGAAAUGCGCAGAUAUCAGGAAGAACACCCGUGGCGAAGGCGGCUCGCUGGGACGGUACUGACGCUGAGACGCGAAAGCGUGGGGAGCGAACAGG
rnacentral:rRNA from 1 species